CAGGUUGACAAGGCUAAUAAUAAAACCAAGGAGGAAAUACCACAUCUGAAGGACAGUGAUGACGCGGAGCUGAAGGGAGCUUGUGGAUUCACUCCUCAUCCUCAUCUGAAGGGUGAUGAGAGGUUUGAUGAUCUGAAGGGAGCGUUUGGUUACGACUUCAAGGGAGACACAUUACUGAAAGCUGAAGCGGGACAGAGUUACUCACCCAACCAUGUUCAGAGUUCAUAUUUUAAUGGCUUUACGAGUCCAGCAUGGGAUUCAAAGGCAGAUCUGGAGACAGACGUCCACAAAGCCUCGGAUCUCUUCACAGCUUCAGACGCCAGUGAGGGACAUCAGAAGAAAUCAAUAAAGUUUAAAGUCCUUCGCCUGCAUCGCAGACAGUCAAAGAGUUUUGAAGAUCCUGAGAUCAAGCAGAGCAAUGAUUCAGAGGUAAACAAACCUGUCAUUUCACUUCCUCACGAUUCAAAUACUUAUCAAAUUUUCACGGUCUUAUUUAUGUUUUUAUUUUAUUUCUUAAUCUUUUUUUAAUUUUAUUUCCCUCUAGAUUUUGUUUCUUUAAUUUCCAAAUAUUACAUUUAUUGUUUACUGUCUGCACUAAAAAAAAAAAAAAAAAAAAAAAAAAAAAAAAAAAAAAAAAAAAAAAAAAAAAAAAAAAAAAAAAAAAAAAAAAAAAAAAAAAAAAAGCACUUGAAGAAGAGGAGGCCUCUUCAUCUGCAAAACAGUUGGAAACCAAUUAAGCUACAUCAGCUGCAUCUGUGGCUUAACAUUACCACAUUUAAAAAUAAAUCAAUUCAUUAAAACAACAUACAGUAAAACACUUAUAGUAGAAGUACAUGAGGCCAGACAGUUACUCUAUAUUUUUUAUAUAUAUAAAAAUAAUAAUAAUGGUGUAGAAACAAUUUUCACUCAGAAAUUGCUAAUAAUUACAAAGAAAUGGAUAUAUCCAUUUCUUUGUAAUUAUUAGCAAUUUCUGAGUGAAAAUUGUUUCUACACCAUUAUUAUUAUUUUUAUAUAUAUAAAAAAUAUAGAGUAACUGUCUGGCCUCAUGUACUUCUACUAUAAGUGUUUUACUGUAUGUUGUUUUAAUGAAUUGAUUUAUUUUUAAAUGUGGUAAUGUUAAGCCACAGAUGCAGCUGAUGUAGCGUAAUU
rnacentral:lncRNA from 12 species